UCUAGACCCACUGCGUCAUAAAUUGGCCCAUAAUGGGCUUAUAAUAACUCGGUAGGCUGUAAAUGGUACCAAACAGGUCGACCAUUGUUUGACCCGUGCUGUAUGGGAUCAGUCUUUACUUCAGUAAAUUAGGACUGAAGCCUACUCAAAAAUUGGAGCUGCUUAAGCAUUUUAUCAUUUUGCAUUAUUUGUACCGGUUAACCGUCGACCCACUUUCUCAGGGCGACUUAUUAGGGUUGGACAAGGCUCUUCGCAACUUUGUAAAGAAAAUCUUCCACCUCCCUUACUCCACCGGCUCUGCUUUUCUACACACCUCCCCGGAAAACGGAGGACUUAGCCUACCGCUAUUGGAACGAGUGGCUAUCUACUCCUUUCUUAGAUCGAUGGUCAGAUGUCGAGACUCCGGCGACCCCAUUUUGGAGGCAUUGUGGGAACAGAACAAUGUUGGUAACAAAGUUACCAAAAUGGAAUAUCUUGCAAGCAUUAGAGGUCCCCUCACCAUCGGAGCCAUAGAAAGUGCGAAAAGAGGAGCAAUCGAGGAUGAGUUUAGAAAUGGGCGAGUAUCGCGACCCAAGGACUAGAAAAGACCGAAUUGGAAAUUCCUGGCUCUGGAGGCCACACCUUCUAAAGGGCAACUCACGUUAUAUCGAUGCUGUUCGCAACCGGGUGCAAAGCAGCCCUUGCUAGAGCAACACCCAUGAACGACAUAAAAUGCCGGCGGAGUCACUCUGUCAAUGAGACCCUUGGACAUGUGCUGGGCUAGUAUUCUUUUGUUAAGCCGCAGAGAAUACAUAGAGACAACGAAAUCUUAUGUCGGAAUGAUUUUAUCGACAAAUACCCUGCCGGACAAUAUAUGAACGAAGCCACGUUUACUAUUGACGGGAAAAAGCUUAGGACCUAUAAUAGUUCUCUGGAGCGGCGAUUGGUCAUAUAUUGUCGAUAUUACUGCCAGAUUUGAGCAGGGCAAUUUUCUCGGCAAAGCCCACUCAAAAAAAAUCCUAAAAUAUGAGUGCCUCUACCCAGAGGUAAUCAAGGUCACGGGCACUACACACUGUCGUGUUCUCCUGAUAGUUGUUGGGUCUCGUGGCGCCCUACCCCCAAAAACCCUAUUUAACAUAUCCCUGCUUUCCAAACAUCUCAAAGCACAGGUCUAACCUUGUCCCUCGUUGCCCUAAGAACAUCGAUCGAGAUGAGCAAUAGGUUCCUUGACGGAUAGUGUGCGGUGUUGGCAGUCUCUACACCACUACACAUGGACUACGAUUUCUACUGUCGGAGCUAAGGGUUUCAAUGAUUCCCAAUAUACUUAUUUAAUGAUUCCCAAAUAGCGUAGAAGGACAGUCACAGGAAGCACAUUUGUGAUGUCUGUAGUGUCCCAUUUACGUUUUGUGUAGCUCUUCUGGCUUGUGAGGCAUUUGACAGGUUAUUGUCUCCUUCCCUUGUUUUCCUUUGUUAUUCUAUAAUAGCCUGUCAAAGGCAGCAGACCUUCACGCAAUACGCCGCGGACGGUUCUCGAUCGCACUGCAUCCCUACGGGGAUUCAGGACGAUCGGUGGCUGACUAAACUCUGAUGUUCCCUGGAAAGUAGGUUGCGGAUAGACCUACGAGGAAUCCUCUACAUCAGUGUUGAAUUGGACCGGUAGCAAUCCGCGUUGCUGCUACUCGGUCUCCAUCACUGAUGGUUUUUCCAUGCCUGAGCCAGCGGUGGCCUCGGUGGGAAGUGAGUGGUGCCCGUGGGAGAGACUCGUUAAUCCUGCGUUACUAUAGCUCAUGGUGAAACCGCGGCUGUUAUGGUGUUUUUUGUCUUUUGACAUAGCACUCUAGUCUCGAAAAAAUCAUGCGCUAAUAAAUCGCGACUGGUUGAAUACCAGAAAGUAUCACAACACUGGGACAGAUUUAUCCAAAUGCCUUGUCAUCUAACCAACGACGCGCAUGAACGGAUUAACGGGAUUCCCACUGUCCCUAUCUACUUUCUAGCAAAACCACUGCCAUGGAACGGGCUUGGAAAAAUUAGCGGAGAAAGAAGACCCUCUUGAGCAUGAUUCUAGUCUGGCAUUGUAAGGAGACAUGAAAGGUGGAGCUUAAGUGGGAGAUAGCAAUAUCGUCGGUGAAAUGUCACUACUUUCAUAGUUUCUUUACUUACUCGAUUGGGCAAAAAGCGUCCGUAAAGAACUUGCGGUCCGACUGUCACGGUUUUCUAGAGCAAAGCGCAUAAGAGUGGUGUGAGGCUUUGCGCCGAUCGCCAACAAUCCGAUAGCGUGAUCCGAUUCGAGGCAAUUGCUAGGCGGGGAGUUUGACUGAGGCGGUACAUCUGUCGAAUAAUAAAGCAUGUGUCCUAAGGCCAGCUCAGCGAGAACAGAAACCUCGGGUAGAGCAAAAGGGCAAAUGCUGGCUUGAUCCCGUUGUUCAGUGUGCACAGGGACCGCGAAAGCCUGUGGCCGUGGCCUAUCGAUCCUUUUGACUUGAAGAGUUUUUAGCAAGAGGUGUCAGAAAAGUUACCACAGUCAAGUAUCCCUAUUUUUGGCAGCCAAGCGACGUUGCUUUUUGAUCUUCCGAUGUCGGCUCCUUCUGUCAUUUUGAAGCAGAAUUCGCUAAGCGUUGGUUCACCCACAAAUAGGAAACGUGAGCUGGGUUUAGACCGUCGUGAGACAGGUUAGUUUUACCCUACUGAUAAAUCGUAGUUGUGAUAGUUAUCCUGCUCAGUACGAGAGGAACCGCAGGUUCGGACAUUUGGUUCACGCACGCAGUCGAUCGGCCAUUGGUGCGAAGCUACCAUCCGUGGGAUUAUGCCUCAACGCCUCUAAGGCCGUAAAUUUUCUAGACAAAGUAAGCAACGAUAUCUCUGGGAGUCUUGUGAGUCAAAAGGCUCAAUACAAUGUGAUUUAUUAGGUAUUCAGCACGUCGUUUAUCGCACGAGUCUUUUUUAGCCGAAAGAGGCGCUG
rnacentral:rRNA from 1 species